rnacentral:rRNA from 1 species
UACGUAGGCAGCGAGCGUUGUUCGGAUUUACUGGGCGUAAAGGGUGUGUAGGCGGUUGUUUAAGUUUGGUGUGAAAUCUCCCGGCUCAACUGGGAGGGUGCGCCGAAUACUGAAUGACUUCGAGUGCGGGAGAGGAGAGUGGAAUUCCUGGUGUAGCGGUGAAAUGCGUAGAUAUCAGGAGGAACACCGGUGGUGUAGACGGCUCUCUGGACCGUAACUGACGCUGAGACACGAAAGCCAGGGGAGCAAACGGG